AGCCACUAGAGAACAAAUUUUCUCAAAAUGGAGAUUAAUUAAAAAUUAUCUGACGUCAACAAUGCUGCAGGAAAGAUUGGACUUGCCACAGUAACCACUUAGCAUGACUUGGUUGCUUCAUAAAAAGUGAAAAAAAAACUCUCUUUACGCAGAAAAAAGCAAGGAAGGUUGUAAAGGCUACCAGAGAUGUUCAGCACAUCGUUUGGUACGCAUGCAUGGUGUAAUCUGAGGCAUUUUUUUCUCUUGCUUUUUGCUUCUCUUGUGCACCGUUGAUCGAUGAUGAAGGGAAAGAACAUAUACGCUGUCCGUAUGUGAUAGUCUGCAUGUGUAAGUGGGAUGGACAAAAUGACCGUGUAAGCAGGACAACAAAUGGGGACGACAUUGGCCUCCUGUAAUCUCCAGACAGAUAUCAACGUGCAGAAGUUACCUGUUGCCACUUCCAAGCUCACAGUCCUGUGGCGCUGUCUGCGCUGGCGACAUGUUGCAGGUGACGGUUGCUGUGAAAGUCAUCAUCAAUUGUCAUACAGGUUCCCUUCCUUUUAGCAAUGACUCCAUUCAGAACAGUGCAACAGAAGCAAAAUCAGACAAUGUUUUAUUUUAACUUUGUUUUGAAUCGUGUAUAAAUUACACAUCAAACUUGGCUUGAAUAUACACGUUCUCACCAUUUUACCACAGCAUCACAUUUUAUGUUACCUUUCUAUUUUAAAAAAAUGUGAAUUCUGAUCCCCCAUGUGUUGUAGACGUUAAGUUAGCAUUGGCUUGCCUAAAAGAUCACACAAAAUCUUGUUGAUCAUAUCGUUGAUGAUGUUGGGAGGGGAAGGGGGCUUUGAAAAAGCGUGAUAAAGGCUUAAAAUUUGAAACAUUGUCGCCAUCACAAACUACAAGCUUGUGCUAUUUCAUCAUGAAUUAAUUGCUAAGCAUCUGUGGAUGUUACUUUGUUAUCUUCUUAACAAACAAAAAAACAAAACAAAGGCCAGUGUCGUAAACUCUGGGGCAGGAGUCCGUGGAUUUGAUAGGGGCUAUGAUUUCUGUCACCCGGUCUAACACACCGUCGAUACCCCCACCAAAUCACGUCGACAUUUCCCGCAUGCGCCUAUUCUGAAUUGCUGAUCUACACAUUUUAACUAGCUUGUCGCGAGACGCGAUCGGGCGUCGCGGGACUUACUCUCUCUCAUCACACUCACACACACAGACAAACUUCCACGCGCCCGAUGCGAGCAACGAAACCAAUCACUUCUCAGUGGACAUAAAACACUAGCACGAAGUUACAAUACAAAACUGAAAUGUAUUGGCGGUCACAGAGCGCGACCUCAACGGAUAUAAAAAAAACAACAAUAACAACAACAAAAAACCAGAUUGCAGAGAAAAGAAAAUAAAACAAACCAACAUGGGAGAACCCCACCACUUAAAAUCAAACACCCGCCCCUCUAACUAAGGGCGUUCGUGAAACCCGGCGCGGCACAACACUUUUCACGCAGUGCAGAUGAUCUCCCCUCCCAGGCCACUGCCUGAGACAACUCUCUGUUCACCUCCACGCACACACAGUCCGUUCUCAGGACGACUCGUCUGUUGCCAGGCGAUGUUGACGUCACCGUACCCGUCACAUUCCCGCCUGUUGCUCUGCGGCUUGGUGAUUGCACAGUCCGUUCUUACGACGACUUGUCUAAUGGCCGAUGGUCGAUGGUCCGAUCUCUCAGAGCCUGUUUAGAGCGAGUCUCUCGUAACGUUUAAUCAUAACACAAAUAAAAAUCCCCUAAGAUAUAAACUCAACACAUAAAGUUUCCCCCGUCCCACAUACAGCUAUGUAGAGAUCUCUUGUUGAGCCCCCAGCAUGCAUCACCCCAAAUAACAACACGAAGCAAUUUAGUAUAUUUAAGAAAUUAUUAAUCAAAUUACCAAAUGAUAAAAGGGAAUACCCAAGAACAGGUUUUGUUAGUGUUUUUAUGCCGUGCUCGGAACAAUGGCUA